GAGUUUGAUCUUGGCUCAGAUUGAACGCUGGCGGCAGGCCUAACACAUGCAAGUCGAGCGGAUGACGGGAGCUUGCUCCUUGAUUCAGCGGCGGACGGGUGAGUAAUGCCUAGGAAUCUGCCUGGUAGUGGGGGACAACGUUUCGAAAGGAACGCUAAUACCGCAUACGUCCUACGGGAGAAAGCAGGGGACCUUCGGGCCUUGCGCUAUCAGAUGAGCCUAGGUCGGAUUAGCUAGUUGGUGGGGUAAUGGCUCACCAAGGCGACGAUCCGUAACUGGUCUGAGAGGAUGAUCAGUCACACUGGAACUGAGACACGGUCCAGACUCCUACGGGAGGCAGCAGUGGGGAAUAUUGGACAAUGGGCGAAAGCCUGAUCCAGCCAUGCCGCGUGUGUGAAGAAGGUCUUCGGAUUGUAAAGCACUUUAAGUUGGGAGGAAGGGCAGUAAGCUAAUACCUUGCUGUUUUGACGUUACCGACAGAAUAAGCACCGGCUAACUCUGUGCCAGCC
rnacentral:rRNA from 1 species